rnacentral:rRNA from 1 species
UACGUAGGUGGCGAGCGUUAUCCGGAAUUAUUGGGCGUAAAGAGCGCGCAGGUGGUUGAUUAAGUCUGAUGUGAAAGCCCACGGCUUAACCGUGGAGGGUCAUUGGAAACUGGUCGACUUGAGUGCAGAAGAGGGAAGUGGAAUUCCAUGUGUAGCGGUGAAAUGCGUAGAGAUAUGGAGGAACACCAGUGGCGAAGGCGGCUUUCUGGUCUAACCCUGACGCUGAGGAGCGAAAGCUAGGGGAGCAAACAGGAUUAGAUACCCG